rnacentral:rRNA from 1 species
UACGUAGGCAGCGAGCGUUGUUCGGAGUUACUGGGCGUAAAGAGUGCGUAGGCGGUUUUCUAAGUUUGGUGUGAAAUCUCCCGGCUUAACUGGGAGGGUGCGCCGAAGACUGGAAGGCUUGAGUAUGGGAGAGGUAAGCGGAAUUCCUGGUGUAGCGGUGAAAUGCGUAGAUAUCAGGAGGAACACCUGCGGCGAAGGCGGCCCUCUGGCUCGUUGCUGACGCUGAAACGCGAAAGCGUGGGGAGCAAACAGG